rnacentral:rRNA from 1 species
UACAGAGGGUGCAAGCGUUGUUCGGAAUUAUUGGGCGUAAAGGGCUCGUAGGCGGUUUGUCGCGUCGGGAGUGAAAACCUCGGGCUUAACUCGGGGCUUGCUUUCGAUACGGGCAGACUAGAGGUAUGCAGGGGAGACUGGAAUUCCUGGUGUAGCGGUGGAAUGCGCAGAUAUCGGGAGGAACACCAGUGGCGAAGGCGACUUCCUGGCCUGUUCUUGACGCUGAGGCGCGAAAGCUAGGGUAGCAAACGGG